AGCCUGCUCUUAGAGAAGAAGUGCCUGGAGGCCAAAAAUAAGAGUCCUUUUAGACGAAGAGCGAGAACAUCAGAGUCAGAGGCUGCAAAGAUACAAGAGGCCAACUUGGUCUGGUGCUCAACUGAAGAAAUAGAGAUCUUGGCUGUGUGCAUCUUCCUGGACGCACCCUUAUAAAGACUUUAAAAGUAGAUCCAUCCAUGAUUCAAAAUCGAGGCUCAGUCACCAGAUUUAAUAUCCUCGGUUUGAAAUUGGAAGAAGGUACAUUUAGAAGAGACUAAGUGUCCCUGACAGAAGAAGAGUAAAGAGCCAGAGGCAGGCUGCAACUCACCCAGCUCAAACAUCUGCCAGAGCUCAAGUCCUUGCUCUGAGGGCUGUGUUCAUGGGAGAGACUGCCCCGACCAGGACCAGUAAUCACCAGAGGGCAUUAUGGAGAGCCUUGAAGGGGCCUGGAUAUACAUUGCCUCAGUGAAAAACACAGCAGACCUU